UAAAGAUUCAUCGCUGAUAGAUAGGCAUGCGUUCCAUUAGGCAGUUGGCGGGGUAACGGCCCACCAAACCGACGAUGGAUAGGGGUUCUGAGAGGAAGGUCCCCCACAUUGGUACUGAGACACGGACCAAACUCCUACGGGAGGCAGCAGUGAGGAAUAUUGGUCAAUGGGCGUAAGCCUGAACCAGCCAAGUCGCGUGAGGGAUGAAGGUUCUAUGGAUCGUAAACCUCUUUUAUAAGGGAAUAAAGUGCGGGACGUGUCCCGCUUUGUAUGUACCUUAUGAAUAAGGAUCGGCUAACUCCGUGCCAGCAGCCGCGGUAAUACGGAGGAUCCGAGCGUUAUCCGGAUUUAUUGGGUUUAAAGGGUGCGUAGGCGGCCUUUUAAGUCAGCGGUGAAAGUCUGUGGCUCAACCAUAGAAUUGCCGUUGAAACUGGGAGGCUUGAGUAUGUUUGAGGCAGGCGGAAUGCGUGGUGUAGCGGUGAAAUGCUUAGAUAUCACGCAGAACCCCGAUUGCGAAGGCAGCCUGCCAAGCCAUGACUGACGCUGAUGCACGAAAGCGUGGGGAUCAAACAGGAUUAGAUACCCUGGUAGUCCACGCAGUA
rnacentral:rRNA from 1 species